rnacentral:rRNA from 1 species
UACGUAGGGUGCGAGCGUUAAUCGGAAUUACUGGGCGUAAAGCGUGCGCAGGUUGUUUUGUAAGUCAGAUGUGAAAUCCCCGAGCUCAACUUGGGAACUGCGUUUGAAACUACAAGACUAGAAUAUGUCAGAGGGGGGUAGAAUUCCACGUGUAGCAGUGAAAUGCGUAGAGAUGUGGAGGAAUACCAAUGGCGAAGGCAGCCCCCUGGGAUAAUAUUGACGCUCAUGCACGAAAGCGUGGGGAGCAAACAGG